AAUACGAAGGGGGCUAGCGUUGUUCGGAAUCACUGGGCGUAAAGCGCACGCAGGCGGAUUGAUAAGUCAGGGGUGAAAUCCCGGAGCUCAACUUCGGAAUUGCCUUUGAUACUGUCUGUCUUGAGUCCGGGAGAGGUGAGUGGAAUUCCUAGUGUAGAGGUGAAAUUCGUAGAUAUUAGGAAGAACACCAGUGGCGAAGGCGGCUCACUGGCCCGGUACUGACGCUCAUGUGCGAAAGCGUGGGGAGCAAACAG
rnacentral:rRNA from 1 species